GUGUUCACUUUGGCAGCACAUAUUCUAAAGUUGGAAUGAUACAGAGAAGAUUAGCAUGGGCUCUGCACAAGGAUGACACCCAAAUUCAUGACAUAUUCCAUAUUAUU
rnacentral:snRNA from 1 species